GGGCCGGGCCGGGCCAAGGGGCGGUGGCGGCGGUACCUCCCCGCACGGUGCACCCAGUCAGCUGAGUGGGGGCGGCCGGGUGGCUUUCCCUAGCCUAGGUCUAGGUGGCUACCCGCCUGCUGGCGGGUAGCGGAGCCGAGCGGAGCCUGCCAGCCUGCCAGCCUGCCUGCCUGCCUGCGCUGCCGGCAUGGUGCAGCAGGAGCCUGCCGGGGCGCCGGGGCUGGCGGAGGGAGAGGCCGCUGCUGGCACCGCCGUCGAGGUGCGGCUGUCCCGGCGUCGCUGGGCCGUGGUGCUGCUCUUCAGCAGCUACUCCCUGUGCAACGCCUUCCAGUGGAUCCAGUAUGGCAGCAUCAACAACGUCUUCACGCGCUUCUACGGUGUGAGCGCCUUCGCCAUUGACUGGCUCUCCAUGUGCUACAUGGUCACUUACAUCCCCCUGCUCUUCCCCGUCGCCUGGCUGCUGGACAAGAGGGGCCUGCGCCUCAUCGCCCUGGCCGGCUCGGCCCUCAACGCCCUGGGCGCCUGGGUGAAGCUGGGCAGCCUGAAGCCGCAGCUGUUCCCUGUCACUGUCCUGGGGCAGGUCAUCUGCUCCAUCGCCCAGGUCUUCAUCCUGGGCAUGCCCUCAUGCAUCGCCUCCGUCUGGUUCAGCUCCCACGAGGUCUCCACUGCCUGCUCCGUCGCCGUCUUUGGGAACCAGCUCGGCAUCGCUCUGGGCUUUCUGGUCCCUCCAGUUCUGGUUCCCAAUUUGGAAGACCUGGAGAAGCUGGCCUACCACAUCAGCAUAAUGUUCUUCAUGACUGCAGGCGUGGCAACAGCCCUGUUCAUCCUGGUUGUCAUAGUCUUCAAGGAGAAGCCCCUGCACCCUCCGAGCCGAGCUCAGGCCUUGGUCCAGUCAAGAACAACAGAGGAGUAUUCCUAUGUGCAAUCAAUCCGCCGUCUGCUCCACAAUGCCAACUUUUUGCUGCUUAUGGUCACUUAUGGUCUGAAUGUGGGUUGCUUCUAUGCCCUGUCCACUCUGCUGAACCGCAUGGUGAUCCAUCACUACCCAGGGGAGGAGGUGAAUGCUGGCAGGAUUGGACUCACCAUUAUACUGUCAGGGAUGGUUGGAGCUCUGAUCUCUGGCAUCUGGUUGGACAGAACGAAAACGUACAAACAGACAACACUAGUCGUCUAUAUCAUGGCUCUGGUGGGAAUGAUAGCCUACACCUUCACUUUGAGCUUGGGCCACCUCUGGGUGGUCUUUGUGACUGCAGGUGCACUGGGGUUUUUUAUGACAGGAUACCUUCCCCUGGGCUUUGAGUUUGCUGCAGAGUUGACAUACCCAGAAUCAGAAGGAACAUCAUCAGGACUCCUUAAUGUCUCAGCACAGAUUUUUGGUAUUGCCUUCACCAUCAGCCAAGGGCAAAUCAUGGAUCACUUUGGGACAAAGGCAGGAAAUCUCUUUCUUUGUUCUUUUCUGUUCCUGGGGACCAUCAUGACAGCAUUCAUUAAGGCUGAUCUCCGAAGACAGCAGGCCAAUUUGGAUAAUGAACAGAUGAGACUCCAAGGCAGCGCUCAGAUCAUGGAUUAUGGGACUGUAGCUUGUAACCCUAACCCCAUCAAUUCCCAUUCCUGCUCACUAGCUCAUACACAAAGCGCUGUGACUCCCAGCUGUGGGAGCAGCCUCCUUUCCCAAAGCUGGAGCCCUGCAGGCUGGCUGAUCUCCUAAACAUCUGUUCCUGUAGCUCCACAGCAGGCUCCUGCCUCAGAUGUCAGUCUUGUCCCACAAAAGUGAUGCCAGAAGCCUGCACUGAUCCCAUAGUCCUUGAGGAAACAAAGCUCUAAAAUGGAGGAGUGGCAGAGCUGGGAGAUGCAGACCCCUUCAUUCCCAUCUUUGCUACCUCCACCAUCCUCCUGUUACAUGUACACUGUGGAGGAGGGCAGCCUCAGGACAGGAGCCUGGGGACCUGCUUGUAGAGAGUAUGAAAGAGCAAAACACGAAGGGAGUUGCUCUCUUCAGUUACACCUCUGUAUCUUGCUGUUUUGGAGACUUUGCUGCUUGAGAGGAAAAGCUGGGAAAACCCACUGCUUCUGCCCCAUCCCACCAUGUAUACUUGAAAAAGAAAAAGCACACAUACUGAGAAAAGCCAUAGUUCCGGGCUAGCCCUAAGCAUAUGAGGGUGGCACCCUGCAUGUCACCAUGUCUCUUCUCACAGGCAAGCUGGACGUGGAAUGCAGAAGCUGGACCACACUUAUUCUGUGAGCAGACCUGGAAGAGCUUUCAGCUGGCUCUCAGAAAGAGGGAUGGCUCUGCCUCGGUGCCCCUGAUGCUCUGUGUUGCAGAGGUGAUGGUACAGGCCUCAGCACACCACCAGCAAGUGCAAAGCAGUGCAUCUGCCACUGCUGGCUCUGAUUUUAUUGUGGCUGUCCCAGAUGAAGCACUCAGACUGGGGAUAAACCUCUGUUCAGAAUUUGCUGAGGUUGCUCUGAUGUUCCUAUAUAUUAGCAACAGUUGAGAGAUACCAAUAUGCCUCCUCUGCCUGGAGGCAAGGACCAGUUCUGCAGCUUAUGUUGAAGCUACAGCCUAAGCCCAGUUCAUCACUACAUCAGCAACAGGAGUGAGACAAACCACAGUGUCCCUGGGCUGAGGACUGUGUCUUCCUCCUUAAAUGAUAAAGUGCCUUUUGCAUGUUUCAACACUACAUAAAAAGCUUUUGUGAAGUGUUAUAUUCUCAAUAUAACCAGCCAAGACUGUGAUGCUCUUCAUAGCCACAGAGAGGGGUUUGAGCACGAUGGGAAUCCAAAAUUGCUCCCAUGUGGAAGCUUCCUACUUCAUAACAGAGAAAAAGAAGAAGCCCUCUUACCAGCGUCUGUGUCUCAUAGGCACUGGCCCUCUGUAUGCUGCUGCUCAUUUUCUAAACACAAAUGUAGGUCCUGAUUGCCCAUCUUCCUUUCCAGCAUCCCUCCACUGGCAGAGACAUCAAGUGUCCUUACACUUCUUAAAUAAUGCAGUUAUGCCUAGAUCAUUUGGGGAGGAGGGGACAAAAACCACACCCAGGUGGAAUGGAUAAAAAUAAUCCUGACAAACCAUUUUUGACCAAAAAAAAAAAAAAAAAAAAAGAGUGAAAUUGUACAGUCUUUUGACACAUUAAAAAAUUCGAGUCCUAUCUUUGAUAGCUUGGGAUUGAGGAUGGGCAUCUAAAAUGGCUUUUCAACAGAUGUUUGUAUAUAAAAUAAAAACAUUAGAAGUGUACAAUGAAAUGUGACACAUUUGUAUUAAAUGGUUGAAACAGUCUACAA